UUUGUAAACACCGGUCGCGUUGGUUGUUGAUAACGAACGAACGUUCUUGCAUUUUUGGCGUUUCGCGUUUAUUUACAAUUCCGUCGUCGGCGGCGGAAAUCUUAAACAGUCGGUCGCAAACAAAUCAUACAUCGUCGAGUGGUGCUUUCGUGUGUUACUGAAGUAAAGAAGAAAACAAAGCAAAAAAAAAGAAAAAACGUGCGCGCUUCAGUGGAGCAGCAACAACUAGAGUGUAUUUUAUUAUCCAAUAUUACUGCCCAGUCAUUAAACUGCAGCAAACGUAAAAAGUGGCUGUGCUAAAGUUUCAUGAUUAAAUAGCCUACUGGCAUUUGAGAGGAAUAUCAAAAAAUUAAAGAAGCAAAAGAAAAAAAUUACAUCAAUGCAUGUAUGAAAGUGUGUGCUUACCAUUUUUUAUUUGGCAAAGUGUGCUCGCAGACAAAGAAUAAAGUUAAGCAAACGAAAUAAUCUUGAACAUAACCAUCGAAUGCAAUAAAUUAAAUAUCAAAACAAAACGAAACGCAAGGAAUAUAAAGAAUAAAAGAAAAAAAAAUUAUAACAAUAAGUGCUUGGCUUCCAACCACACACGUAUGUACGUACAUAUACACGAAAAAAAAGAAGAGAAAAGAAAAGUAGAAGCAUUUGCAUGCAAUUCUGGCUGCGCUUACCAUUAAAAUAUCCAAUUACAGUUUCAAGUUCUCUAAAGCCAAAAAAAAAAAAGUUGAUGUAUUGAAACCAGAGUGAAGCAACAAGAAGAAGAAGAAUAAGAAGAAAGAAAUCCAGAAGUAAAGCAAUACCCUGAAUCUUGACAAAAGGGUGGGGAGUUAAUUAAGCGAAUUUUGAUUUAAUUGUGCUCUAACUAAAGUUCAGAGGCAGUGAGUGAUUCAUUAUUGGGAGACAGAUAGAUGUGUGAUAAAGUGCAGUAAAUAACGUGGAACAAAGUGUGAAACAAAUUAAAGGCAACAAAAACAAAAAAAAAAAAAAAAAUAAAGCAACCAGUCCCACAUAAAUUCCAAGUGCAAAACAGUAAGAAAAAUAUUUUUUCCACAAAUCCCAAAACCAUUUGUUUCUCUGGAGAGAAAAAAAAAUUAUAUCGAUAAGGUGCAAAUAUCAACAACAACAACAAAUACCCAUUCUGAAAAAAAAAAACGAAACUCUAGUAGUGAGUGAAUGUGGUGAGGCUAACUUUUUGAGGCCUGCCUGUUUGAAAUAUCCUCGAUAACUUCCCUCUCAUACUUUUCGAAAAUUUUAUGAAAUUAUCGCAAAAGCAGUUUUCUGCUCUGGAUUAUAUGACCGUUUUUUGCGGAUAUUUGACACCGUCGCAAGAACUUCAAGACACUCGGGCGCAGUCUGCAACCAGCCAAUAAGCCAGACGGUUAUUGGAUUAUAAUUGGAUUAAACAUUAGCUCGUCAAAAGGUAAUUAGAUGAUCCAUAUGAGAGAGAUGUAUGUAAGUAAGUUUAAGCUUAGAAAUAUUUUUUUGUAUUGAAAUAAAGUUUAGCAUUUUAUUGAUUAAAACUUUUUCUAUUGUAUUGAAAUAAAGUUUCCCAUGAAGAUUCUAUUCAAGAACAGCUAAGGGGAUUCUUCUGAAU
rnacentral:sRNA from 1 species